CAGCAGCCGCGGUAAUACGAAGGGUGCAAGCGUUAAUCGGAAUUACUGGGCGUAAAGCGUGCGUAGGCGGUUUGUUAAGUCUGCUGUGAAAUCCCCGGGCUCAACCUGGGAAUGGCAGUGGAUACUGGCAAGCUAGAGUGUGUCAGAGGAUGGUGGAAUUCCCGGUGUAGCGGUGAAAUGCGUAGAGAUCGGGAGGAACAUCAGUGGCGAAGGCGGCCAUCUGGGACAACACUGACGCUGAGGCACGAAAGCGUGGGGAGCAAACAGGAUUAGAUACCCGUGUAGUCCCUGUCUCUUAUAU
rnacentral:rRNA from 1 species